rnacentral:rRNA from 1 species
UGGAUCCAGACUUUGAUUAUGGCUCAGGAUGAACGCUAGCUACAGGCUUAACACAUGCAAGUCGAGGGGAAACGACAUCGAAAGCUUGCUUUUGAUGGGCGUCGACCGGCGCACGGGUGAGUAACGCGUAUCCAACCUGCCCACCACUUGGAGAUAACCUUGCGAAAGUAAGACUAAUACCCAAUGAUAUCUCUAGAAGACAUCUGAAAGAGAUUAAAGAUUUAUCGGUGAUGGAUGGGGAUGCGUCUGAUUAGCUUGUUGGCGGGGUAACGGCCCACCAAGGCAACGAUCAGUAGGGGUUCUGAGAGGAAGGUCCCCCACAUUGGAACUGAGACACGGUCCAAACUCCUACGGGAGGCAGCAGUGAGGAAUAUUGGUCAAUGGACGGGAGUCUGAACAGCCAAGUAGCGUGCAGGAUGACGGCCCUAUGGGUUGUAAACUGCUUUUAUAAGGGAAUAAAGUGAGUCUCGUGAGACUUUUUGCAUGUACCUUAUGAAUAAGGACCGGCUAAUUCCGUGCCAGCAGCCGCGGUAAUACGGAAGGUCCGGGCGUUAUCCGGAUUUAUUGGGUUUAAAGGGAGCGUAGGCCGGAGAUUAAGCGUGUUGUGAAAUGUAGACGCUCAACGUCUGCACUGCAGCGCGAACUGGUUUCCUUGAGUACGCACAAAGUGGGCGGAAUUCGUGGUGUAGCGGUGAAAUGCUUAGAUAUCACGAAGAACUCCGAUUGCGAAGGCAGCUCACUGGAGCGCAACUGACGCUGAAGCUCGAAAGUGCGGGUAUCGAACAGGAUUAGAUACCCUGGUAGUCCGCACGGUAAACGAUGGAUGCCCGCUGUUGGUCUGAAUAGGUCAGCGGCCAAGCGAAAGCAUUAAGCAUCCCACCUGGGGAGUACGCCGGCAACGGUGCAACUCAAAGGAAUUGACGGA